rnacentral:misc_RNA from 1 species
AAAGUCGUAACAAGGUUUCCGUAGGUGAACCUGCGGAAGGAUCAUUACAAAAAAAAAGGGAUUUAUCCCUGCUCGAAGCAGUGCGAGUUUACGUUUUUUUUAAGCGUAAAUGACCACGACUAGAGAUAUCUUUUGUGCACCGUAAACAACAAAAUUCGCGUUUUAUUAUGUCUGAUGUAACAUUUUACAGUUUUCGUGAAUGUGGUCUCGAUCCAUUUGCAUGAUAAAGAAAACAUAAAAAUAACUUUUAACAACGGAUCUCUUGGCUCUC